rnacentral:rRNA from 1 species
UGACGUUACCCGCAGAAGGGUCACCGGCGAACUCCGUGCCAGCAGCCGCGGUAAUACGGAGGGGUGCAAGCGUUAAUCGGAAUUACUGGGCGUAAAGCGCACGCAGGCGGUCUGUUAAGUCAGAUGUGAAAUCGCCGGGCUUAACCUGGGAACUGCAUUUGAAACUGGCAGGCUUGAGUCUCGUAGAGGGGGGUAGAAUUCCAGGUGUAGCGGUGAAAUGCGUAGAGAUCUGGAGGAAUACCGGUGGCGAAGGCGGCCCCCUGGACGAAGACUGACGCUCAGGUGCGAAAGCGUGGGGAGCAAACAGGAUUAGAUACCCUGGUAGUCCACGCCGUAAACGAUGUCGACUUGGAGGUUGUGCCCUUGAGGCGUGGCUUCCGGAGCUAACGCGUUAAGUCGACCGCCUGGGGAGUACGGCCGCAAGGUUAAAACUCAAAUGAAUUGACGGGGGCCCGCACAAGCGGUGGAGCAUGUGGUUUAAUUCGAUGCAACGCGAGAACCUUACCUGGCCUUGACAUCCAGAGAACUUACAGAGAUGCUUUGGUGCCUUCGGGAACUCUGAGACAGGUGCUGC